rnacentral:rRNA from 1 species
UACGGGGGGAGCAAGCGUUGUUCGGAUUUACUGGGCGGUAAAGGGCGCGUAGGCGGCGUGACAAGUCACUUGUGAAAUCUCCGGGCUUAACCCGGAGCGGCCAAGUGAUACUGUCGUGCUAGAGUGCAGGAAGGGGCUACUGGAAUUCUCGGUGUAGCGGUGAAAUGCGUAGAUAUCGAGAGGAACACCUGCGGCGAAGGCGGGUAGCUGGGCCGUAAUUGAGCUGAGGCGCGAAAAGCGGUGGGGAGAAACAGG